GACGUAGGGCGCGAGCGUUGUCCGGAUUUAUUGGGCGUAAAGAGCUCGUAGGCGGCUUGUCGCGUCGACCGUGAAAACUCACAGCUCAACUGUGAGCUUGCGGUCGAUACGGGCAGGCUCGAGUUCGGUAGGGGAGACUGGAAUUCCUGGUGUAGCGGUGGAAUGCGCAGAUAUCAGGAGGAACACCGGUGGCGAAGGCGGGUCUCUGGGCAGUAACUGACGCUGAGGAGCGAAAGCGUGGGGAGCGAACAGG
rnacentral:rRNA from 1 species